UACAUGCAAGUUGAACGCAACAAAGACACCAGAGCUUGCUCUACCGUCUUUGUUGAGUAGCGAACGGGUGAGUAACGCGUGGGUAACCUGCCUUAUAGCGGGGGAUAACUAUUGGAAACGAUAGCUAAUACCGCAUAACAAUAGAGAUUGCAUAAUCUUUAUUUGAAAGUACCAACUGGUACACUAUGAGAUGGACCCGCGUUGUAUUAGCUAGUUGGUAGUGUAAUGGACUACCAAGGCGAUGAUACAUAGCCGACCUGAGAGGGUGAUCGGCCACAUUGGGACUGAGACACGGCCCAAACUCCUACGGGAGGCAGCAGUAGGGAAUCUUCGGCAAUGGACGAAAGUCUGACCGAGCAACGCCGCGUGAGUGAAGAAGGUUUUCGGAUCGUAAAACUCUGUUGUUAGAGAAGAAUGUUGAUUAGAGUGGAAAAUUAAUCAAGUGACGGUAUCUAACCAGAAAGGGACGGCUAACUACGUGCCAGCAGCCGCGGUAAU
rnacentral:rRNA from 1 species